rnacentral:rRNA from 1 species
ACGGGAGGCAGCAGUGGGGAAUAUUGCACAAUGGGCGCAAGCCUGAUGCAGCAACGCCGCGUGAGGGAAGACGGUCUUCGGAUUGUAAACCUUUUUCUUUGGGGAAGAAGAAAGUGACGGUAGCCAAUGAGGAAGCCACGGCUAACUACGUGCCAGCAGCCGCGGUAAUACGUAGGUGGCAAGCGUUAUCCGGAUUUACUGGGUGUAAAGGGAGCGCAGGCGGGACAGCAAGUUGGAUGUGAAAUACCGAGGCUUAACCAAGGAGCUGCAUCCAAAACUGUUGUUCUUGAGUGAAGUAGAGGUAGGCGGAAUUCCGAGUGUAGCGGUGAAAUGCGUAGAUAUUGGGAGGAACACCAGUGGCGAAGGCGACUUACUGGACAUUAACUGACGCUGAGGCGCGAAAGCGUGGGGAGCAAACAGGAUUAGAUACCCUGGUA